rnacentral:lncRNA from 1 species
CUGGGUUUUAUUUUGUUUGAAGAGCAUCUUAGCCUGCAUGAGACAGGACUCCUUCCUUCAUCACUGAAAGAAGAAAAGAGACUCCCUUGCUUGCAGAAGAGAGAAACUCUAAUGUUUUUGAUUACAUUGCCUUAAAAGAAAAAUGACUGUCUGGCUGCUGGGCUGCAAACAGCUCUUAAGAAACAGAAGCAAGACUAAAGAAAAAUACCAAAAUGGUCCAUUAAAUGCUCCAGGAUCAUCUCACACUGCAUAAUCUUUGUUAUGGUGGUGAGCAGUUUAGUGUUGUUCCAAAGAAAGAGCAAAGCAGCAUACAGGUCUGGAAGAAUACUGAUGAAAUACUAAUGUUCCUUUGUCUUCUGCACUGA